rnacentral:lncRNA from 1 species
CAGAGCUGUAACUCAAGGACCUUAUAUUCUUGUCUAAUCUAUAUCAUCCAUACUUUCUCUUCUCAGAGUUCGAGAAAUAGAAUCUCUAGGUGUCAGAGGAAAAAGAAAUAUUGUAUUGGAAAGUUAAAGAAUUGUAAAAUUCAUUGGUGGAAAUGAUAACGCAUCGACGUGCACAUUUUUAUUCAUUAAUUUCUCUCUUUUCCUUCUUCACAAGAAACUCCUGGAUGAGUGCAAGGACCAAUGCCGGCGUCAGAUAUCUGCGAGGAGUCAAAUGUUUGGACAAGACCCAUGUCCUGGCACAUGCAAGUAUCGCGUAGUAUCGCAUAGAUGCAGACCAGUGAACCACCAAAUAAAGACAGUGUGUGAGAAUGGUACACUGAGGCUUCAGUGCAGAGAUAAAUCUGUCUUGACAAUUUUUUCUGCAAGUUACGGCAAAUUCAUGGAAGGAAAACAAGAAUGUGGAGUAAUGAAUAAAAAUGGACCUGUUCAUAGAGUGCUUAGCUCCUGACACUCUACAAAGAGUCUUGAGACAAUGUCAAAAGAGAGAAAACGCUACAUUGUUUGCAGACACGCCUACUUUUGGUGAACCUUGUUUCCCAGGAGUGAAGAAACAGUUGCAAGUUUCCUUCAUAUGUGGUAAGAAAAACAGGGUACUCUUGCCACUUAACAAGUUACUGUGAUAAGGUUACAAUAUUAUAUCUUACCAUAAUAAAAAUAGCUAAAAUAUGUAUAACA